UCAUGUUACCGUCCUAGGGCCAUUCCCCGUGGUGUGAUCCUUGCACUUACGAGGAGAAACUCAGAGAAGGCCUAGCCCUCCCCACUUGAAUCAACGAUCACGGUUCUCAUUUUUCUCCUUGCCUUGUCUUUUCUCUCCAUUGAUUUCAAACCCAGCAGCUUCUAAGGCCGGCCCGGGGCUCACACAUCUGUGUCACUCAUCAUCUAUCUCACUUGGAACACAGUGCUGACCACCCUGACAAGCCUCUGAAGACGAGGAAUCCCCUAGAGCCAGAUCGUACCUUCUCCCCAGCUCUAGGGAUCUCCAGGACGAUUCUUUUUGGGGCCUGAACCUCCUCCCAAAGGCUACAAGGAUUGCUUUCUCUGCCCACCAGUUUUUUUUCCUGAUUUAGCCAAAGCCCUUGGGCCUAAAAUAUAAACAGAGAGUGCAAGGACACACCUAGACUAUAAUGCAGAAUUUGGAUUUAAGUAAAAAUAAACGUUUGACCUGUAAGCAUA